CUCCAAGACACAGCCUACACCCAGUUUGCAGGUGAGCCCUCGCAGGGAAUGCUCCUGGGCAUCUCAUGGCCCAGCCUGGGUGUAGCACCGGGGCUUCCCCCUACUGCAGCUGGGAUGGGAUUAAUGCUGGAGCCAAGUUGAUUUGGUUGGGGUGUGAGGGGGGCCAGCUCCCAGCCCUGCUGACAGCCUUCAGUACCCACUGUGGCCUGGGCUGGGGCUGGAGCUGGUGCAGCCAGCCCGACAAAAACCCCCAUGGGGGUAAUGGAGAGGGGGGUCUGAACCCAUGCCCUGGAUGGUUUGGUGUGCAGGGGAGGAGGGGCUUGGACUGCUCCACUCACCUUGUUUGCCUUGGCUUAUUAACAUUUUUUGGGGGCCCACGCAGGCAGAGAGGAGAGUGGGUUUUCUCCACCAGUGGGUGGGUUUUUCCUUUGUGUGUCAUGGUUGGGCUUUCCCAGGGUUUCUGCUGCCCUCUUCCAGCACCAGUGGCUUCUUUUCCAGCCCCGAGUUUGUACACAAGUCCCAGGUGAUGGUGAGAAGGCAGCGGUCACCCCGUGUGCUGCUGGAGCAGCCCCCACAUGCCCGGGGAUGCUGGGGCCAGGCUCUGGGAGCAGCAGCAUCCCCCUGAAGAGCUCUGUCUGUGUUCCACAGGAACCCUGGCCUACAGCCCUCCAGAGUGGACCCAGCACCAAAGCUACCAUGGCGAGGCAGCGAUGAUCUGGUCCCUGGGCCUCCUGCUGUACCAGCUGGUCGUGGGGAAGCACCCGUUCAGGAGGGGCCAGGAGAUCAUCUGGGGGUGCAUCUUGUUCCCAGCACGGCUCUCUCAAGAGUGCCAAGAUGUCAUUAAGCGGUGUUUGUCCAUGCAGCCCUCGGACAGGCCAUCAUUAGAAGAGCUUUUCUGCCAUCCUUGGGUGCAGGGUGCUCCUCGGCCCUAGAAGAUGGGAGAGAUCCAUGUGCACAGUUGGAUCCAGGGGCCUGGCAGGGAAGGAGAAGGAGCUCCUGGAGAAGCUGUACCAGGUGGGGCUGCUGCUGGAGACAGCAAGGACAGCCUCAAGGAUGACAGUCUCUUCCUUGGCCUGGCCAGCUGAAGAAGAUGGACUUGGAUUCUGGCACCUUCUCUAAAGACACACUCCACACCCAAUUUGCAGCCGGGCUCUGCGGGUGCUGAGGCUGCUCUGGGCUCUGCCAGGGCUCUGCUGGGCUCAGCCCUGGGCACAGCUGGGCUGGCUCUGCCCUCACAUUGCUCUGACAGCUUUGCAUCAGACAAGCCCGUUCCGAGCACAGCGCCUGAGCUUUCUGCUUUGGCAGGUGAGUGAGACUCUCCUGCAGGCCCAGAGAUUGCAGCUGGGGACACACAUCCAAUUGGCAAGAACGCAAACUCUCCACAGUCCCAGCUGAACGCCUGGAUCUCCAAAGGAUGUUUCAUCUGUCACACUCUUCAUUCCUUUUUGGCUUUUUCUUCCUCUGGAGGUGCCACAAGUGGGCCAAAGCUGGCGAGUGGGCCGUGUCCCUGAGGCAGUGCAGUCUGGAGCUGAUGGAUGGAGAAUUGCCUUUCUGCACUCCCAAACCAGAGGAAAAAUCUAAAACAUGCUGUAAAAAAAGAGUGUCCUUUGCUCCUGGUUCCCAUGUGGAGCAGCUCCCUUCCUGCUGGCUGAGCUGCUCAGGCAGAGCCCGGCAGCUCCUGGCCAUGCAGGGCUGAGGCUUUUCCCCACUGCUGGGCACAGACUGAUGGAGCAGCACUGCUGAACACGGGCACACCCAGAGGGACCAAGAGCAGCUGCCUUUGCCCACCUGAGGCUCCAAGGCCCAAACUCUGAGCAGCCAGGGCUGGAAGAGACUCGCAGGCUCCCUGGUGGCUGUGCUGCCCCACUUGUGCCCGGCCCAGCUCUGCAUGAGGCAGAGGGAGAACAAGGGGCAGCUCCCUCUCAGCCCAGCCCAGGGACCCCUCCAGCCCUAGGGCUUGGGGCACUGUCAGCACCUGCUGCUCCAGCCACCACUCCUGCUGACCCUGACAGCAACACCCAAACUGGGGCUGAUCCCGAGGGAGCAGCAGCAGGGCCUGGAUCUGCUCCCUGACUCUGGGCCAGGGCUGGACAAAUGACCCCACAGCAGCAGCAGCACAUGGAGCUGACAUUCAGCACAGCCCCUGCCACUCUUCCCUCCUGUGUGCAGCAGUGUCACAGCAGCCUGAGGCACCUGGGAGCCCCCAGUGCCAGCAGGGACUUGAGAUGGCAGCCCUGGGCUCCUGGAGGUUGUGCAAGGAAUGCAGCUGGGGACUCCCUGUCCAUGGGGAGCUUCCAGAUGGAAACGGCUGCUGUGUCCAGGCAGCUCCAAGGGCAGAGAAAGGAGCGUCUCGACCACUGGAUCUGUGCCAGUCCUACAGUCCUGGCCAGCAGCCACUGAGCCCUGGGGGAACAGAGGGCACAGCAAGAGGGACAAAGCCAGGCGAGGUCAGAGACUGGAGAGAGCCAGACCUGGGAGCAGGAACAGCUGCUCCAUUGCACUCUUGGAGAAAGCUCUUGGCUGGUUUAAAGCACUGAAAAGCAUGAAGUGCAGAGAGGAGGCCACAGCAAACAAUGCUCCUGUUUCCACACCCUCUCCUCUCUGUGUCCCAGAAGAAACUGGACUGUAUUCAUCUCUCCGAGUCGUCUCAUUCAACAUGAGCAGCUUAGCACCAGGAGCUGAAAGAACUGCCACCAUAGGCCACAGGAGCUGAGCAAGAGGGAACUUUUGGAGCAAAGUAAUGCUGCUCAAAUAGACCUAGCUGAAUGCAGCAGAUAUACUAAUGGAAUCACAGCAUCCUUUCUGUUGGAAAAGACCUCUGAGCUCAUCCAGUCCAGCCGUUCACUCAGCAGUGCCAAGCCCAGCACUAAACCACGUCCCUGAAGUGCCAAGGCCUGAACAGCAGGCCCUGAGCCAAAGGUGACUUCUGGAUGAACCUUCCAACCAAAGGUUAUCUUUGUAUCUGCUCACUGAUGAAAUAUGCAUGGCCAUUAGCACUGUGAUAGAUGUAGCCACUCCUUAGUGACACACGUAUUGAUCUUUUUGUAUUGGCAAGCCAGACAAGGCCAUGAAAUCUGACAUCUGGCCUUGUUUGGGGCUGAAGGAUCAAAGUCAGCUCCUUUGGUUCCUCCUUGAGCCCUGGCCAGGCUUUGGGAGGAACCCAAGAGGAGGAUGAAACCAGAUGUUCCUGCACUAGAAGUGCUGUCAGUUUGUUCAUUCAGCACUGUCAGAGCUGGGCCCUCUCACAGCGAGGUUGGAGCCUCACCUGUGGCUGGAGGCACCUGCAGGAAUUCCCAGUGUCCAGGAGUGGCUCUGCAGUCCUUGGCUAUGACAGCUUCCCCCUGCUGCUGUGUGGAUCUGGGGGAUGGUGAAGUCUGAGGGACACUGGUGCUGGAUCUUUCUAAAUCACUGCUGCAAUCUUUGGUGGUGAUGAUUGAGUGCAUUGCUGAGCUGCUCCUUUUGUGAUUCUUUGCUGCUUUGAGCUGCAGUAAAUGACACUGAUUCCUUCAGUUGGAGUCUGUGUCUUUGGUGCUGACCCUGCCCACUGGUAAAACAAAACUGGCAGAGUCUGGCCAGAUCACAGCAAAAUGUCACUUGUUAAAUGUAAAUGUGAGGAAUCAGUGGCAUCAGAAAUUCCCAAAUGGGAAGCCCUUCCCUGGAGUUGGCUGGCUCUGGAGUGGGCUGAGGUCGCAGCACUGUGUGAGCACUGGGGCAGUUGGUUAAAAGAAGCUGAACCCCUGGAUGUCUUAAAAUGUAUCCAAAAAUUGCAUAUGGAAAAGGAAAAGAACUUGUGGGUUUGGGCAGACAAAGAUGAAUUUGUUAACUGUACAUUGAAAACAGCACCUUCAGAAGGAACAAUUAUUGUUGGAAUGCUCCCACAUGGAGCAACAGAAGAAGGUUUUAAUCUUGAGCUCCGAUGCAUUUGUGCAAGUGAAAUAUUAAUAUCAUAAAUAACUAUGUACAUAUUUAUAGUAUAAUCAGGCCUUAAUAUAUAUUGAUAUAUAUAUAUAUUUUAUAUGUAUGUCUAUACCUAUCUAGCUAUAUCUAUAUUUCUAUAUCAAUAUCUAUAUCUACGUAUAAAAUUGUAAUAAUGUGAAAUAGUGCUGACAAUACUAAUUUGGUAGCUUUGGCUGCUCAGGGAUGUAACUCUAAAUACUCUACAGAAAAGGAUUGGCCAGGACCCUAAUGUCAGAGGUAAACUUUGUGAGAUUGUAUACAAUGAAAAAAGGAGGAGGGGAUGAAAUUGCUAUUUUUACAGGGUUUGCUGAUGCUGUGAUUCAGAGUGCUUUGUCUGUUACUGUGGAAAAUACCGUGAUUAAGACUGCUGGGUUUUUCAUGUAACAGACUAUCCUUAAGCUGCAGGAUUUGUUGAACAGGUGAAGGGGUUGUUAAAAGAGCAGUUGAAAAAAGGAGGAGAUGGGAACCUGUCCCCAUGGAGAACCCAUCUCCCAGGUGUGCUCCAUACCCUUAACAAUGGCCCACUGGGGAAAUGGAAACCCCCUGGCUGUGCACAGCUGCACCCAAUUUGCAACUACAACCAUGAACAGUGAGGCUUGCACUGCCUGGGAAAUUGUUGUGGGUGUGAUGGCCCCUGGCAGGGCCAGCCCAGAGGCUGCAGGGCUGGACCUUCAUGCAUUGCCAUUAAUUAGGAUAAAUCCAAAGCAAAUGAAAGCUAUCUAUAGUGAGACAGGAAUUCUGAUUCCUCCAGGACACCUUGGUUUGGUAACUGCUCAUUUGGAGCUUGGCCUUGCAAAAUGUUCAUGUCAUGGCAGGAGGAAAGGAGGAAUUGAUGCUGAAUAUAAAGGAGAAAUUACAGUAAUUCUGUUAAACAAUUGUCAAUAAGAUUGGGUUAUUCAACCCCAUGACAGGGUUGCACGAUUAUUGAUAUUGCAAUUUUAAGCACAAUUGUGAAAAAAGGAGAUCCACCUCCAGUCAUUACCAUUUGUGGAGAUAAAGGGUUUGGAUCCAGCAGUCCUAACAACGGAGCCAGAGUGUGGGCCCAGAGGCCAAAAGGCCCUCCUGAGGCAGCUGAAGGAACAGCUCCUAGGAAAGACAAUAUUGAAUCCUGAAACCUGGGCAGGAACAAUGGGAAUAUGUCCCUGCAGCCAAGUAUUCUGUGUGAGAACAAGUAGAUAUUACAGGAUACUGUUUUACACAUCCUGCCAGACCAAAUCUCCUUGUUUGCCCCAACGGCCCCUUUGGAAAAUGCUCUGAUCCACAGGGCUCCAUGUGGAGGCUGCUGUGACAAUGAGGGACUUGCACACAAAUUCCAUCUAGGAGCCUGGGUGCCCUCAGGGACUGGGACCCGGCCCCCUUCCAGCCCAAGGGGAAAGGGCCCCACCAAGCCUUGUUAGCCACAGACACCGUGCUAAAGCUGAACAGCAAAGGACCUUGGGGGCAUUAUUCUGAAAUUAACACGGUGCCACCUCCAUGGACAACCGAAUUAUUGUUCCUAACCCAAAUGAGACCGAGGAAAAAGAACGAAGAACAGUGUCACUAAAGUACUAUUGAUGUCUGCAAGUUGUAUCUUGAUAGUCAGCCAGAAUCUUUGUUUGCCACAAAAACGUUUAGAGUUUCACCAAGGAUUAGUCAUUAAAUUCUUGAGAAUGCUAAGAUCAAAGUAUCCAAAAUACUCAAUGUAAUUAAUUCCUGGAUAUGCUCUCAACCAAUUUUGGGAGGAAUGGGGCUCCCUUGGAGGGCCCAGGGAAGAGCCCUGCAUCCAUCAGCAGCCCACAGUGGGAAAUAGGAAAUCAGACCUUUGGUACUGAGAAUGGAAGCUGCUGGCUGUGUGGAGACUGCCCAUAAAUAGCUUCCUAAAGGAUGGUUUGGGUCCUGUUUCCAGGCAAUGCUGAUGCCUCCCUUGAGGGUCCUUCAGCAACAAUCACAAGGAAGAGUUGGGGCCAAGAGAACAUUUUCCACCCAAGGGGUGCAUUUGGUCUCAGAAAACCAAAAGAUUCUGGUUCAACCUGUGCCCCAUGUGUACUACCCCAUUCUGCAGAUUUUACAGUAAUGAGCUAAAUCAAUUAUUAGAAGAAAUAGCAAAUGCUGCUGUUAAAAUGUCCAAUCUCACAUCCCAGGAGCUCCAACAAACACAAAUGGGGCUCUACAGAAACACACAGCCUGGGAUUAUCUGCUUGCUGGCCAGCGAGGAACCUGGGCUCUCAUGGGACAGGAAUGUUGCACUGCUCUCAGUGAUGGGUUUGAAGGCCAACAGUCAGGAAUCAGCUUGACAGAAAAGGCAGUAGAAGAGUGGCAGAAAGAAGAAAAUUUUUCUUGGUGGCAUUGGCUUCAUGGCUGCCAAAUUGGAGGCUACUGUGAAAUUAAUUUUUGGCAGUGUCGCGUCAUUGCAAUAUGAGCACUUGGUGUGUUAUGAUUUCAUUUUAGAGUUGUUGUGGCACUUUGUGCUGGAAACGGAGUACUGAGUACGGAGUACUCCACUCCCUGCUGCUCCCUGGCACACACUGUCCCUGCAGGUCCCCUGUGUUCUCCUGGCAGCUCCCAAGGCCCUCCAGACAAACCUUCUCCUGCCAUCAGCCCUGGCACAAGCUGCAGAGCCGCAGGAAGGUUCAGCACAGACCAUUCAGCAUCUGAUGGGCACUGGCCACCAACAAGCAAAACCUGACCCAGACCUGAGUCCCCUGAAGGCCCC